rnacentral:miRNA from 1 species
CCCUCUCUUGUUGAUCCCCACCCCUCCUUCUGUGCAGGCUUAUUUCCUGCUCCAAGGUGUGGAUGACAAAAGAGAUGGAA